GGAAGGAUCAUUAUCAUAAAAAUUAUUAUCACAACACAAACCACACUUUGGAUCUCUUUUUCCCUUUCGAGGGUUUAGCUUUUCAAUGUGUUGGUUUGCACACCAAUGUGAACUUUAUAAAGUCCAUAACCAAUUUUUAAACUCCAUGUAAACCUGAUUGUAGUGUUUGAAUCCUCUUCUUGUUAGGGGUGGGUGGGUUAACCCCCUAACUAACAUCAAGGGAAACAAAUAAAAAAUAACCAAAAUACAAUCUUUAACGAUGGAUAUCUCGGCUCGUGUAACGAUGAAGAGCGCAGCAAAGUGCGAUAACUAGUGUGAAUUGCAGAAUUCUGUGAAUCAUCGAACUCUUGAACGCAUCCUGCGCCUGAGGGCUAUCCUUCAGGCACACCUGUUUGAGUGUCGACUCAUUCUCCAUUCUCCCCUCUAUCACUUGUGAUCUAGGGGAGAGAUAUGAUAGUGAAGGGUGAACAUACAUCCUUCUCUGUUUAAAAGUAUGAGCUGAUCACCUUCUUUCAUAGACAGUGAUUACUAUUCUAGGUUCGGGGGUCUUUUUUUGACUCAAGUCCUAGGAUAACUUUCUAAUUGAAAGGGGUUUGAUUUCAGAUACAAAAGGAAUAAAAAAUUAAGGGGGUACUUAAAACACACCUCCUUAACAACCAAAUUCGACCUCAAAUCAGGUGGGAUUACCCCCUGAAUUUAAGCAUAUAAAUAAGGGGAGGAAAAGAAAGUAACCACGAUUCCCUCAGUAAAGGCGAUUGAACAGGGAAGAGCUCAAUCCGAAUCCAGCUGGUUUCCAGCUUGAAUUGUAGUUUUGUGAGCACUUAUAUGGGAAUGUCUUGGUUUAAGUUACCUGGAAUGGUACGCCAUAGAGGGUGACAGCCCCGUUUACAACCGAGAAUCAUUUUCCCUAUCCGUAAGUGUUUCAUAGAGUCGGACUAUUUGAUAGUAUAGUCCUAAGCGUGAGGUAAGUUCCUCAUAAAGCUAAAUACAGACGCGAGACCGAUAGCGAACAAGUACCGUGAGGGAAAGAUGCAAAGAACUUUGAAAAGAGAGUUAAAAGUACUUGAAAUCGUUAGAGAGGAAGCGGUUGGAACCAGUGAUUGUUUCGUGAUCGAUUCAUGGCUUAAAGGGUGAUCCACAGUGUUUCAAGAGUCUCCCUUUGGAGGCCUUGUUGUAUUGAAGAUCAUUCUGGAGGUUGUUACUUCGGUUGCGACGGAUCAGUAUCUGUGGGUUUCGGAAUGGAAUGGGUUGAAGGAGGUAACCUGGGGUUCUCUCUCUGGGUGUUUAACUUUGAUCAGAUAUUCUGAAAAUCCUACAGAGGUCACAAAGUGGAGCUUUGCGGGGAAAGUGGUUUCCUAAUGGAUAAUAGUAUGGGAGACUGUCUAACAGUGUCUUGUAUUAUUUUGUUUGUUAUCGAUUCUACUCCACAUUUCCACUUCAUGAUACUGGUGAAAUGGUUCCUACCGACCCGUCUUGAAACACGGACCAAGGAGUCUAACAUAUGUGCGAGUCACUGAGUGGUAAACUUGGGGGCGUAAUGAAAGUGAAUUAAGGUGCCAUUCUUGGGUCUCGUUACCUGAGAUGCAGCAUCGACCGAUCCAAUUUCCCUCUGUGGAAAUAGAUUUGAGUAGGAGCAUAUCUGUUGGGACCCGAAAGAUGGUGAACUAUGCCUGCAUAGGGUGAGGCCAGAAGAAAUUCUGGUGGAGGCUCGUAGCGAUACUGACGUGCAAAUCGUUCGUCAAAUGUGGGUAUAGCGGCGAAAGACUAAUCGAACCGUCUAGUAGCUGGUUUCCUC
rnacentral:misc_RNA from 1 species